rnacentral:tRNA from 1 species
AAUUGUUUAGUAUAUUACAUUUGAUUUCCAAUCAAAAGUAGAAAGGCUGUAU